CUGCCGACUCAUUCACCCACAUGCCAAGCAACGGUAGUGAGAGAGCUUAGCAGAUGAGUGAAUGAAGCGGGAGGUAAAGUU
rnacentral:precursor_RNA from 1 species